GUAUCAUAUGGCACACGCGAUCAGCGCGACUUGUUGUAUCUAGGUAACCAGCCUGUGUUGUGUAGGUAUCCAUGGUGACGGGAUGCACAUAGGGGAAGUGACGUAUCAUGACGUCAUUGUAGCUGCGCCGGACGGAGCGGACGCCGCCCCACACGCUACAUGCGGCACGAGCACCUGGGUGAUUAGUCGUCUUUAUAGAUGCUGCGAGACAGACACCAGGAGGAAUGAGAGACUACUACCAACCUGUCAUCCUCAUGUGGCUGCACCCCGUUCCUACAGACUCUGAAACUGUGCUGUGGGCGGAUCCAUCUGUUUAGCAGACUGUGCACACAACACAUUGCAGCUAGCUGCCUCGGCUCCCAUCACUUUUCACACCAGUGACCAGCAGCAGGGAGACGCAGGCACCCCGUCCUCUCAGACUUCUGCACUCAGCUAAAGGGUAACUAGAUGCUACCGAGCUCACUGGCAGGAGAUACAGUAUGGCGUCUGAUGUUUUCUUUGUACACCCUCCUUCCCUGCCAGCUUUUCUGCACCUGACCCCGCCCCCGUCGCAUUCGAUUGGCGCAGACACAGUAGAGAUUCCGGACUGAGCUUUGAGGAAUCCGGGGGACUCAAGUGCAUUUCCGUGGCAACGGGAGACUCCGUAUUGAACCGGGAGUCUCCCGCAGAAUGCGGGAGGGUAGGAAACUAUGCAUCAGGUUCCACUCCUGGCAGCUAGGAACAGGGAACUGAGGCUACAGAUUCACCAUGCCUGGACAGUUGAAGAGUGGAAAAACAUUAUUUCUACUGUGACAUGCAUAAGGUAGAAUCAGAAUUUGUCAAAAACAACAUGACUCAAUGGAUCCUGGUGGUGGUGUAAUGUUGUGGGGAUAGUUUCUUGGCAUUAAGCCCCUUAACACUGACUAAAAAUAGUUUAGAGCUCAAA